GGGGUUGUGGCUUAGAGGUAGAGCGCUCGCCUACCAUGCAUGAGGCACUGGGUGUGAUCCUUAGCAACACCA
rnacentral:tRNA from 1 species